UUAUUAUUUUCUCCUUGGUAGUUUCUAAUUGGUAUUAAUCACACAUUUGAUAUAGGAAAUGAAAACAUCAUUUAUGUUUCCUCGGGAAGUGAAGUCAAGAGCUUUGAUGUCCAUCUGGCCUUCUCUUGGAAGCCGUUGGAGACUUAUGAAUAUAAUAAGGAUGAGAUAAAUCAGAUUGCUUGCAACUUCAAGUCUUCUUUGCUUACA